AAGACUGUGGCAGACAAACUGUGGUUGUCCCCGUUCCAAGCUGUGAGGACACCUGCCAUCUUUCACGAGAGGCUGGUUUUUGCAUUUCCUCAUAAUAAACCCCCUCGCCUUUUCAACAUAGGUUCUCUUACCAGUGUGGGGAGCUAGAUUCAUAUCCGAAUGAAGGCAAAUGAGAUUCAUGUAAUUGACAGCCAAUGAAAUAGUCAUGGGACUCUCUGCUGAAACACACAGAAAACCACAACAGAGAGAAUCAGAAGAAGGCAGGAGAUAUUCUCUGCCAGGACUCAUUUUUAGAGAAGACCUCAGCUGCUUUGACUAAAUCGGUUCAACUGAAAUGCCUCCGUUCCUCACCAUGAAUUUGGCAUCCUUCUUACUAAUAUUAAUGGUUCUCCUGUCAAGAACUCUUUUCUGCCAUGCUGAAAAUCCUGUCCAGGAACCCCUGCUAGAAGCAUCCAAUGGAAGAGAAGUAGACCUUAAUUGCUCCCAUCCCAAUAUUAAAACAAAUGAAAACAUCGUUUGGUACCGACUGUUCCCUAGCCAGCCUCCCGAUCUCAUUGCAACUGGAUACAAGGGAAAAGAGCCGAGCAACUUAGGGGAGAGAAUUUCCUUGAUUAUUCCUGAUGAGCGAAAAAAUAGCAUCCUCUCCUUCACCAAAGUGACCUUUGAGGACCAGGCCUUGUACCUCUGUGCUCUGGUAUACACUGUGUCACAUCCUAGUGAGUCUCUUUAGCAAGAACCCUUUCUUGCAAUGCAGCUGCCGCCAGAGAGAGGAAAGAAAGAUCAUUGUGAA